rnacentral:rRNA from 1 species
CAGCAGCCACGGGAAUACGUAGGGUGCAAGCGUUAAUCGGAAUUACUGGGCGUAAAGCGUGCGCAGGCGGUUAUAUAAGACAGAUGUGAAAUCCCCGGGCUCAACCUGGGAACUGCAUUUGUGACUGUAUAGCUAGAGUACGGCAGAGGGGGAUGGAAUUCCGCGUGUAGCAGUGAAAUGCGUAGAUAUGCGGAGGAACACCGAUGGCGAAGGCAAUCCCCUGGGCCUGUACUGACGCUCAUGCACGAAAGCGUGGGGAGCAAACAGGAUUAGAUACCCGAGUAGUCCCUGUCUCUUAUAA